UUCAAACAACCAAAGGAAUCUGGAUGGCUAGAUGCAAUGGCAUAGAGCCUUGUACACUUGUUAUGGAUUUGGAGGGUACUGAUGGAAGAGAACGUGGAAAGGAUGACACUGCUUUUGAAAAGCAGAGUGCUUUACUUGCUCUUGCUGUAUCAGAUAUUGUGUUAAUAAACAUGUGGUGCCAUGACAUUGGCCGUGAGCAAGCUGCAAAUAAGCAACUUUUAAAAAC